AACGAACGCUGGCGGCAUGCCUAACACAUGCAAGUCGAACGAGACCUUCGGGUCUAGUGGCGCACGGGUGCGUAACGCGUGGGAACCUGCCUUUAGGUUCGGAAUAACUCAGAGAAAUUUGAGCUAAUACCGGAUGAUGUCUUCGGACCAAAGAUUUAUCGCCUUUAGAUGGGCCCGCGUUGGAUUAGCUAGUUGGUGGGGUAAAGGCCUACCAAGGCGACGAUCCAUAGCUGGUCUGAGAGGAUGAUCAGCCACACUGGGACUGAGACACGGCCCAGACUCCUACGGGAGGCAGCAGUGGGGAAUAUGGGACAAUGGGCGAAAGCCUGAUCCAGCAAUGCCGCGUGAGUGAUGAAGGCCUUAGGGUUGUAAGCUCUUUUACCCGAGAUGAUAAUGACAGUAUCGGGAGAAUAAGCUCCGGCUAACUCCGUG
rnacentral:rRNA from 1 species